rnacentral:rRNA from 1 species
GAUGAACGCUAGCUACAGGCUUAACACAUGCAAGUCGAGGGGCAGCAUUUUAGUUUGCUUGCAAACUGAAGAUGGCGACCGGCGCACGGGUGAGUAACACGUAUCCAACCUGCCGAUAACUCCGGGAUAGCCUUUCGAAAGAAAGAUUAAUACCGGAUAGUAUACGAAUAUCGCAUGAUAUUUUUAUUAAAGAAUUUCGGUUAUCGAUGGGGAUGCGUUCCAUUAGUUUGUUGGCGGGGUAACGGCCCACCAAGACUACGAUGGAUAGGGGUUCUGAGAGGAAGGUCCCCCACAUUGGAACUGAGACACGGUCCAAACUCCUACGGGAGGCAGCAGUGAGGAAUAUUGGUCAAUGGGCGCGAGCCUGAACCAGCCAAGUAGCGUGAAGGAUGAAGGCUCUAUGGGUCGUAAACUUCUUUUAUAUGGGAAUAAAGUUUUCCACGCGUGGAAUUUUGUAUGUACCAUAUGAAUAAGGAUCGGCUAACUCCGUGCCAGCAGCCGCGGUAAUACGGAGGAUCCGAGCGUUAUCCGGAUUUAUUGGGUUUAAAGGGAGCGUAGGUGGAUUGUUAAGUCAGUUGUGAAAGUUUGCGGCUCAACCGUAAAAUUGCAGUUGAAACUGGCAGUCUUGAGUACAGUAGAGGUGGGCGGAAUUCGUGGUGUAGCGGUGAAAUGCUUAGAUAUCACGAAGAACUCCGAUUGCGAAGGCAGCUCACUAGACUGUCACUGACACUGAUGCUCGAAAGUGUGGGUAUCAAACAGGAUUAGAUACCCUGGUAGUCCACACAGUAAACGAUGAAUACUCGCUGUUUGCGAUAUACAGUAAGCGGCCAAGCGAAAGCAUUAAGUAUUCCACCUGGGGAGUACGCCGGCAACGGUGAAACUCAAAGGAAUUGACGGGGGCCCGCACAAGCGGAGGAACAUGUGGUUUAAUUCGAUGAUACGCGAGGAACCUUACCCGGGCUUAAAUUGCAACAGAAUAUAUUGGAAACAGUAUAGCCGUAAGGCUGUUGUGAAGGUGCUGCAUGGUUGUCGUCAGCUCGUGCCGUGAGGUGUCGGCUUAAGUGCCAUAACGAGCGCAACCCUUAUCUUUAGUUACUAACAGGUUAUGCUGAGGACUCUAGAGAGACUGCCGUCGUAAGAUGUGAGGAAGGUGGGGAUGACGUCAAAUCAGCACGGCCCUUACGUCCGGGGCUACACACGUGUUACAAUGGGGGGUACAGAAGGCGGCUACCUGGUGACAGGAUGCUAAUCCCAAAAACCUCUCUCAGUUCGGAUCGAAGUCUGCAACCCGACUUCGUGAAGCUGGAUUCGCUAGUAAUCGCGCAUCAGCCAUGGCGCGGUGAAUACGUUCCCGGGCCU